ACAGUUAUUUUUAUACUAGUUUGCAUCAAUUGUUGCAAUUUCUUCUAUAGAGAGAUUUGACUUUAGUACGAUCUAUUAUCUAUUAUAUAUAUUGAAAACAAACUCUCUCACUUUAUUGUUGCCAUGUGUACAAACAUAUUCCACCUCAACAAGAAAAUUGAUGUGUACGCUCCUAUUAGAGAGUUCUUACUUGUGUGUUGUGUUUCACCUUAUUUUUCUCUACUUAGUUUCUAAAUAAUUUUUCCCUUUCAAAUCCCUAAUUUUUUUAAACGCUUUCUCCUUCAUCUUAAUAUCCUCCAACAGUUUCUUCUUCUCGAUUUUAAUGUAUUCACUUUGUCGCUAAGAUCCUCUUUGACGUCCCUCCGCGGUUCAAAAAAGUGGUAACGUCCAUAUGCGCUCAGCUUCUACUUCCACAUCUUCGACCGUCUCACUGAUUCACGAUUCACACUCAUCCUAUCGGUUCCAAAAAAGUGGCAACGUCCCUCAGCGGUUCACUUCUGCUUCGUCAUCCUCGACCGUCUCGCCCGAUUCACAAUUCAAAAUCAUCUUUUUCGACAUCUCUCUGCGGUAACUCUUCGAAAUCGUGAAAUCUUACCUAGAUUAUUAUCAAAUUGUAUACAUAAAACAAACCACCAAAUCUAUUUUGUUGUCAUCUUAUUAUGUAUAUUUUAAAAAAAAAAAUAUAACAUUAUUAUGUAUUUCUCAUUACUUUCAAUUUAUGUCAAUCAAUUAUAUGAGUAAUAUGUUACGUUAUAAAUCCUCCUUUUACCUUCAUACACAAUUGAGGCAACUUUUCGAAAUCGUGAAAUCUUACCUAGAUUAUUAUCAAAUUAUAAACAUAGCACAAGCGUUCCCCAAAUCAAUUUUGUUGUUAUCUAUUAUGCAUUUUUUUUUUUAUAAAUUAUUUUAUAAUAUUAUUAGGCAUUUCUCAUUACUUUCAAUUUAUGUCAAUCAAUUAUAUGAGUAAUAUUUUACGUUAUCAAUCCUCCUUUCACGUUCAUACACAAUUAUUCAAUGAUUUCAUACGUUGAAAAUUACAUUUUUCUAUAAUAUUUUUAUAAUACAUUUUUUUUAUUAUGGGUAAUAUUUUACACUAUCAAUUAUACUUAGGUGUAUAAAUCUUGUUUUCAUGCACAAUUACUUUACUUAGGGGUCACUAAUGAUUUCAUACAUUGAAAAUUCAAUUACUCAUUAAAUUCAAUGGAAAAAACACAUAAUCACUCAUAAAUAUUGUCAUAAACGUUUUUUUUAUCAAAUUCUUUGUAUUAUCUCAACAUGGUAACGAUAAUAAAUUGAGAUUGUGAAAUCUUACCUAGAUUAUUCUCAAAUUUAAUACACAAAACAAACCCCCAAAUCUAUUUUGUUUUCACCUUAUUAUGCAUUUUUUUUAUAAAAAAAUUUAUAACAUUAUUACGCAAUUAUAAUUACUUUCAAUUUAUGUCAAUCAAUUAUAGAGUAAUAUUUUAUGUUAUUAAUCCUCCUUUUAUGUUCAUAAACAAUGAUGUUCUUCUACGGUAACUCUUCGAAAUCGUAAAAUCUUACAUAGAUUAUUAUUGAAUUGUAUACAUAAAACAAACCCACAAUCUAUUUUGUUGUCAUCUUAUUAUGCCUUUUUUUUUAUAACAUUAUUAUGUUUAAUAAUUUACCUGAGGAUUUUGCUGCGGCUCACAAUUAUUUUAGGAAUAUUUAUGCUGCGGUGGCAGAUUCUGCAAGUAAAACAACAUGUAAAGUUUUUGUUUGCUGCAGAUUUAAAUGUGAUUAUAAAUCUGCAGCAAACUUCACAUUUUUCCUGAGGAUUUAUCUACGGAAGGAAAAAAUGGUUGAUGUAGCAUUUGG
rnacentral:lncRNA from 1 species